GCCGGUAUAGCUUAGUGGUAGAGCACAUACUUAGCAUGCAUGGGGUUCUGGUUCAGUCCCCAGUACCUCCA
rfam:Camelus ferus unplaced genomic scaffold scaffold1402, whole genome shotgun sequence.